rnacentral:tRNA from 1 species
UCAUUCUUAGCUCAGCUGGGAGAGCAUCUGCCUUACAAGCAGAGGGUCAUAGGUUCGAGCCCUAUAGGCCCCA